AUUGGUCCUACUUAUUUAGUUUCUAUUGCAUAGUGGAAGACAUAUUUUUCUAUCCAUGCAUUUUUCGUUACUCUUAAACUAAAUUAUUAUUGAUUCUUAAAAAUGUUUAAAAUAACUUUUAAUGAGACAAUGAGUAAUAGACAAUAAAUUUAAAUCUAUCUAAGAUAGAUAAAAAAUCUAAAAAAAAUAUCAUGACAAAUCGGAAAUUACGUCAUCUACUGAUUCUAGUAUUAUGUAUCUCUUUUUUGUGUAGUAUGUUAACAGUAUAUUGGUUAAUUAAGAGAUCAUAUAAUCUGGAGAAGUUAGAGCGACCAGACGCGUACAAUGGACCGAUUGUGAAUAAUAUUUUGGAUAAUUACAAUCAACAGGAUCGUCCAUAUUAUUUGGAGCCAAUUAUAACCGUAACGCCUUAUUACAAAGAAAUGGAAUGGAAUGAAAUUGCGAACCCGCCUCUACCGUGGUAUUUCAAAGAUGGUUCAAUAAAACCUACCAAAGCUCUAUCGAGCUCUGGAUUAAAACUUACACAAGUGUGGCCUGAAGAACAAAUAAAUGGCGAUCGCGUGGAAGAACAACUAAUGUUUGUGCCACCAAAUUAUGAUUAUAACAAUGCACCAAUCAAGUCAAUUUUAUUAUUUAACAAUGUUAACGAAUGGAUGGUUGAUAGUGGACAAAACGAAUUUAUUUCAAAAAAUUGCCCGGUAAAUAGAUGCACAAUUACUACAGACAAAUCAAAAUCCUCAAACAUCGAUUCAAUUGUAUUCCGAAAUGAGUUCUCACGUCCAGUCACAUAAAGUCUGGUAAACAAGUAUGGAUUUUAUCUAUUGUCGAGUCUGCAUUCUAUACAGAACUUAAUGUUGACCAUGAUUUAAUCAAUUGGACUGCUACAUAUCGACAUGAUAGUGAUAUCGUUAUGCCUCAUCAACGAUGGGCUUAUUACGAUCCGUCAGUAACUCAGAUUGAACAAUUUAAUCGAAAUUACGCACAACAUAAAACGAAACAAUUGGCUAUAAUUAUCACAGAUUGUAACAUUAAUAAUGACAGAGAACUAUUUUAUGCUAGAGAGUUGAGCAAGUAUAAUAUAUCUGUAGAUAUGUAUGGUGGAUGUGGUGAAUUUAAAAAUAUCGAAUCUAAUACAUUUCUACAAAUGCUGGAUCAGAGUUAUAAAUUUUAUUUGGCUUUCGAGAAUUCAAAUUGUAUUGAUUACGUGACUGAAAAGUUUUUCGUCAACGGACUUCAGCAUAACGUACUGCCGAUCGUGAUGGGUGCUCGCCGCGAGGACUACAAACGUUUAGCGCCAGACCGAUCGUACUUGCACGUGGACGACUACGAGUCGCCGGAACAGUUGGCCGAGCACCUGCGACAAUUGGACGCCGACGACGACUUGUACAACGAGUACUUCCAGUGGAAAGGCACCGGCGAGUUUAUCGACACAAGGUUCUUCUGUCGACUGUGCGCAAUGUUGCACGACGACGGAGCGCCGGCCAAAAGUUACAAAAAUUUGGACCGCUGGUGGCGUGGUCCGGAAGUUUGCGAUAACCUUGUCCCCGAGAUCCCGACCCAAUUGCCACCACCGCCGUUAGCGAUUAAUGACAGAGAAGAAAUAUGGACGUAAAAUAUAUGAGUGCUGGCGACGUUAUAUAAAACUCGUCUCAUAUCUAUUGUACACUCUUGUAGACUCUCUAAUGAUUUAAUGUUUUAAGUAGGUAUCGUACUAUCGUAUGAACUCUUGCACGUACGCUUCUCUGAUCCUUCCCUACCUUCACCUAUACACAUUAUACAUAUUUGAAUUAUUACAAAUUUUAGUUAAAUUUAGUCAAAUUAAUAUUAUGCGAUUGGCUCAUAUAUUUACAAGAUGUAUUAUGUAAUUUUCACGCUAUUUAUAGUUGUUCGUAAAUUCAAAUAUUUCCCUGAAGGAUUGGAAUAUCAUAAUUUCUUCAACUCUUCUCCACAAGUAUAAUUAUAUUUAUAUUAUAAGUUUUUUCUUGUUUUGUUACUAAUUAAUACACAUGAUUUGCACGACCAAAUUCAAAAUUCUCAUAUUAUUUCACCUUUCUAUACAAAAUCUACUGUACGUCGUAUAUUAUUUGAUUUAAGUAUAUGGAGAUAGAGAAAUUUCGGAUUUGGUCAUACAAAUUCUUCAAACACACAUUUCAUCCAUUUACAAAAAAUUUUUAUUUUAUGCAUAAUUUAAAGAUUUAAAGCCUGUAAAUUACGAAAAUAGCAAAUACAAAUUAUAUUGUAAUA